rfam:Ictidomys tridecemlineatus contig041715, whole genome shotgun sequence.
GGGGGUGUGGCUCAGUGGUGGAGUACUUGCCUAGCACGUGAGAGGCACUGGGUUUGAUCCUCAGCACCACAU